ensembl:misc_RNA 7SK 7SK RNA
GAAUGGGCGAUCUGGCUGCGACAUCUGUCGCCCCAUUGAUUGCCAGCGUAGAUUCGGCUGAUCUGGCUUGCUUAGCGGGUGUCCCCUUCCUCCCUCACCACUCCAUGUGCUCCCUCCUGAAGCUUCUCGCUAGUCCAAGAGGACGACCUUCCCCUGUAGAGGAGAGGACCCUUCCGUCAAGGGUAUACGAACAGCUGCGCUCCCCGGCUAGAAUCUCCAAACAAGCUCUCAAAGUCCGUGUGUAAAUCCGCAUGUAAGUCCGCGUGAGACCGUAAGGUACUUGUCUUUCUCU